rnacentral:lncRNA from 1 species
UAACGAAUUCGAUUCAACCUUUUUCACAUAGUCUUCGAAUAUUAAACUUGAUACAUCUCCUCCUCUGAAGACCCAAUAGGCGAAAAUAUCCAAAUCUAAUUCAUAAAGUGUCACGAGCCAAAUUAGGACCGUGACCGGCGCUUAGGAGCUAGUGCUCCCAAGCAAGUUUCAUCGGAAAUUUUACAAAAAAUUGGACAGAGUUUUCCCUAUUUUUGGACCAUCCCAAAAAAUUUCAUAUCUUAAAUCAGCAACAAAACAUCCUAAUAGCAAUUCAAAUGACAAGGACUUUAUCAAUUAACCAAAAUAAAUAUCUACCUUUAACAGUCCACCCACUAACAACUAGAAAUACUACUAUAUUUGCAAAUUUGAUAAGAAUGAGCGUUACUCAACAUAAGUCUAUAAUAAUAAAGGCUACUCAAGACACUAAAAGAAGGACCAUGGAGCGACUCUAAGAGUCCAAAGAAGACCAUGAAAAUAAAUAAAAUCUCCGCCCACGCGAAUAAAUGUGAGGUUCACCGAGAACUAUCAAUCUGUGCGCUUUAAUUAACGAAAUCCUCGCCUGCAUCAGCUGUUGUCUCUGUAAAAACAUUUAGCGGGGAAUGAGUCGCUAGCUCAGUGAGUAAUAACACUUAACCACAACCGUUUUUAUUUGGGGACAAGUUAGAAAACAGGAUAGUAUCUCAAACAGAAAAUAACAUAAAAAUGCCCUUUCAGAAACAAUAAAUAAUUUUCAGCCUCAUCAUGCUUUUCUUGUAGUAUAAGCUCGGUAACCACUGUAUAAUAUCAAUAUUCAAAUUUGGGAGGUUUCAAUGAACGGAUCAUGUAAUCGGUAUAACUCUGGACUUCUUCUCAAGAAGUCAAAUAUAAUGGCAGUCCCUACUCGAGGAAAAUCGGUAACGGUGUGCUAGUUCUACCUUCCCACGAGCGAGGGCUAUAACUAUACUCUGUAAUCGGUAAAUACAAGGUGCACCAGGUCUAACGAACCCGCCGUUAGCUACGGGAUCCUUCAAAGUCUACUCCCAUUUAUACUUGUCUAUAUAUCUGUAAAUACUCAUAGGAAAAUAUUUUAAAAUAAUAUAGGGCAUUUUGGUUCUUAUCAAAUCAUGUAAUUCCAUUUCAAUAAUAGUAAAUUCAAGUAACUGUAGAACAAAUCUAGUGACAACAAGAAUAUUUAAAACAACGGUAAUCAUCUCAAAUAACUAUUUCGGUAUCACAUCGAGUAAAAGACUUGUCCCACAUGCAACUCAAAAUAAUCGGUAACAUAUUCAUGUUAAAAAUCAUGUGUAAAUCAUGCAAGUUAUGAAAACACAAAUUGCGGUAAGAUUACUACUCACAGUACUCAUACCGAAAUACCAACUGCUUCAUCUCAAGCUAGUCGUACAAAUUCCUCCAAUCAAUCUAUAAUUACAUAAUAUCGAUCUCAUGUUAAUUUCUUUAUUUAGACUAAUUCAUAACUAAUUUAGAAUAUUCAACGCUCGAGAUUACACCUUUAAGUGUCAAUUCGUCCAAUUAAUGUCUAUCCAUGCUUCGGGUUACUCAACACAUUCAACAUUCUUCUAUUUAAAACUGUCAUAUUAUUUAUUCAUGGUAUUGUUCAAAAAUAUUUUUCUCUUAAACAUGUAAAUAAGCCAAAUUUAGUAGCGUUGCUGGAUAUAGGUACAUAAUUGGUAUUUAAUAUUCAUUACCCAAUGAAAUUUUCGUAUACACAAAGAGUAAACUCAAGCAAACCGUGAGUAAGAAAAAUUACUUUGGGAUUGAACGGUGACUUCUACUAUUUGCCUUCGCUUCUGUGUUCCAUGACACAAGAUUCCACCACAAAAGCUAUUUGAUCAACCAUCCUUUUGUCCUUCACGGUUAAUUGCCAGAGAAUCCCCUCCUUUUGUCCUCCUUGUUUUCAAUUUUUAAUUGCUUUCAAUUCAUUGGUCGACCAAAGUCAUUGUCUUUUGCCCAAAUAUUAAUCUGUUCUUUUUUUUCUUCUCCUUUAUUUUGGUGGCUAAUACACCUAUCUUUAUAAAACCCUUAAGAGUCCAUGGUAUCGGGUAGUGUCUUCGGCCAAUUAAGAUGCUUUAUACAUUUUUUUAAAAAAAAGUUUUUGGCUAAAUGGCAAUUAUGCCCUUAUUUUAAUUGUAGGAUAUUAUAUUCUCCCCCACCUUAUAAAAUUCGGUCCCCGAAUUUAUACACAUACACACCUGCAGACUGAAGUAAGUGAGGAUACUUGACUCACAUAGCUUCUUUUACUUCUCUAGUAGCUUCUUAAACUGUAUGGUUUCUCCACAAGACUUUCACGGACACAUUUUUUUUUCCAUAACUUUCUUACCUGUCUGUCAACAAUAGCUACCGGCUCCUCCUCGUAGAAUAAGUUCACAUUUAAUUCUAUAAUCGGUGCUUCAAUCACAUGAAGGGAAUUUGAUGUGCAUUUUCUUAGCAUAGAAACAUACAAUACUUAAUUUAUGAAAGACAAUUUAGAAGGAAGUGCCAACCAAUACACCACAACUCACACUUGGUCUAGUAUCACGUUCGACCUUAUAACCCUCGGGCUAAACUUACUCUCUUUUUUCAAAUUACAUUACGCCUUUCAUAGGGGAGAGUUGUAGGGACACUCUGUCCCCCCAAUUGUGAAAACUAAGUUCCUUCUCUUCGUAUCCCUAAAAGACUUUUGUCUGCUUUUAUUUGUGAGCAAUCUUUGCCUAAUCAACUCGACCUUGUCAUUAGCUUCUUCUACUAGGUCAUGUCCCCAUAAGUUAGUCUCACUAGCUUCAAACCACCCGAUAGGAGAACAAUAUCUUUUACCAUAAAAUGCUUUGUAUGGUGUCAUCUGAACGCUGGAUUGAAAGUUAUUAUUGUAGGAAAAUUCAGCUAAAGAUAGAUCGACAUUCCAACAACCCCCAAACUCAAGAAUUCAAUUUUUUCAACAUAUCCUCCAAGAUCUAUAUAGUAUAUUCGGAAUUUGUGUUUGCGUGUGAUAAAACUAGUACUAAGAUCUACUCGUGUACCCAACGUCUCUUGAAAAGAUUUUCAAAUCGUACAGUGAAUUGUGAUCCUCUAUUAAAGAUAAUGGACAAUAGAGCUCUAUUGAGUCAGAUAAUUUUCUGUUCAUGUAUAUCUAUGCAUAUUUUACCUCAUUAUAAGAGGUUUUGACUAGCAAGAAAAGUGUCUACUUGGUAAGCCAAUUUACAACUUUCCCACAUAUAAUGAUACCUCUAAUGAUUUGAGUAAUUUAGUCAUAUAAUGUAUUGUUCUAUUGUAUUUCCACUUCAGAAUCUUGAAUUAUUUUAGUGGGCCUGUGAGUCGCACGUGCUUGCGUUAACAUACUGACAUGCCAAAUAAUUAGAAUAAAGUUAACGAUUUUUUUUUCCUUCUUUCUUUUCCAACCAAUCAAUUUUUUUUAUAGUCAUGGUACAUCUUAUAGACCUGAGAUAUACAGUGUAUCUAGAGUUGUGAGCUCCAUCAUGAAUAGUUUGUCUCAACCCAUAUAUGUUUGCUAUACAUAAUUAAUUAUCUAGUCAUAGAAUACCCUCAUUAUUAAUAGUCAUAUCCUUCCUUUUACCAGCUAAAAGCUAAUCUUGGUAAUUAAACAAUUGUUCAUCCUUGUAUUGGCAAUAAUGUCUUAGAAUUUUUUUUCCACAUUGAAUUUAACACGUGUACCCUCUAAUCUAUGCAUAUCUUCAUCCAGAAGUAUCUCUACAGGAGCUAAAUGCGUCAAAUCACCCAUAUUUUUUUUUGGCAUAAGCUAUAAUAUUUAUCUUUUUCGAACAUUACAAAAUAGUACAAUUAUAUCUUCAGUAGUUCCCUCCAUUAGCAUUGUUAAUAUUUAUAUCUCUGUGAGUUUUAAAUGUACUUCAAGCUCUUGUGCUAGGUAUAAAUCUCAUAGGUUUCUUCAGAUAAAUAGUGUCUCUAAAUCUAAAAAGGAAAUACCAAUAUGACCAUCUCCAAAUCAUGAAUGGCAUAACACGACUUGAGCUUCUUCAAUUUCCUUAGAGCAUAGGCUAUCACGCGACUAUUUUGCAUGAGAAAAUAUUUUAAGCCUACCCUCGAAGUAUCACAUAACAUCGUGAAUCCUCUAGAGCCUAUUGGAAUAAGGCUAACAUUAGUAUGGUUGUCAAACAUGCAUUGGCUUCUGGAAUCUCGUCUUACAUUCCAAUAUUCAUUGAAAUUUGGUGACUUUAUAUGUUAACUUGGUGAGUAGUGGUGCUAUUCUAGAGGAAUCCUAUACAAAUAAUGCUUGUAAUAGCCUGUCAAGCCAAAAAAAAAUCAAUCUCUUUAGGAGAAAUGGAUCUCGGCCAUUUAGGAAGUGUUUCUAUCUUCUCAGAAUAUACCAUAUUUUCAUUCUUAGAUAUCAUGUGUCCUAUGAAUACCACCGAGUCUGGCUAAAGUUCACACUUCAAGAACUUGGUAAAAAGCUAAUUUUUCGGUAGCAUUUAUAACGCAGUUUUUUUUCUUCCAAGUAAUUUUUCGUGUUCUUUCUAGCUACAAGAAUAUACUAAAUAUCAUAAAUAAUGGCCAUGAUACUUUUUCUAGAAACAACUUGAACACCAUAUUUAUUAUAUCUAUGAAUGCAGCUAGAGAAUUGGUCACUCCAAAAGGCAUCACAAGUAACUCAUAAUGUUUGUACUGAGUUCUAGAGGCUUACAUUGAAAUAUCUUCCUUUCUUAUUCUAAGCUGAUGAUAACCAGACUAAAGAUCAAUCUUUUAAAAGUGGGAGGCUCCUUGUAACUAAUCAAACAAGUCAUCUAUACGAGACAAUAAGUAUAUAUUGCAUAUUGUUAUCUUAGUCAAUUUUAUGUAGUCAAUUUACAUUCUUACGGACCUAUUUCCUCCUCUCUCUCUUUUUUCCCAACAAUAUUGGUGCUCCACAUGGUGAAACACUCGGUAUGAUAAAACUCUUAUUCAAUAGGUUUUGCAAUUGUUUACUUAGCCCUCUCGACUCCGUUGGUUUCAUAUGAUAUAGUUUGUAUGUCAAGUGUCAGCUCAAUACCGUAAUCUAUUUCUCGUAUUGGAGGUAGUCCUAGUAAAUCCUUAGGAAUAAAUUAGAGAAUCUCUCAUUAUGAUACUUCCUUUUUUUUUCAAACUAAGUAUUUCUUCUCUUGUGCCCCUUACCGUAUCUAUGAGAUCCAAACAACCUUUCUUCUAUAACUGUUAAGUCUUCAAAAUAUAUAAUUUGCUCGUCUCUAAAACCUAUAAUCCUUUUUUUUUUAAACAAAACUAGUUUUUAAAGUUCACCAAACCUAAUUAGUCUUUCCAAUAUAAUCGAGGGCAACAUGGUAAGAAGAUAAUUAAUCCAUGUCCUUCUGUACAUUAGAGUCAACCAUAUCAAGUACAACUUGGUUAGUUGGGGUUUUCUUCUCUUAGCUUGAAUCUUAAAAGUUUUAAACACAUGUCUAACUACUAUAAAUUUUUCACAGAUAUGGCAACCCGAAAAGGAUCGCUUAGUAUCUGAAAAUGUUCUUGAUUUUUAAAUCUUCGAUUCAUAUUAAAAUCCAUUCUAAUAGAUGUUCUAAUUUUGAUCUUUCUUAUGUGAGUUCUUGCAGCCUAUCAUAUCCAUAUUUUCAAUCCAUCUGGUAAGUGAAACUGCUACAAAAUAGGUUUAAGUCUUCAUAUAUGUAGUUACUAUAUUGUUUAAACAAUUAACCAACCUUUCAACAAGCCUGUAAACUUAUGAUGUUGCUUGUGUAUCCAGCUGAGAAAGUUUAGUGUUAUAUGUAAGUAUACCCAACGUCUAAAUCAAUUUCUUAAAUGAUCUAGCAGGAAAGUUCUCGUCACAAACUGUCAAGAAGGAAGUGAUUCAUAAAAACUUUAGUGAAAUUUAUUCCUAAAUUAGUUGUGUUGGUCUUGUUGGCAUCUCUAAGAGUACAGUAGCAUUUCAUGUAUUUGCCAUGUUUUCUAGUCUAAAAGUUGCAUGUUCCAUAGACCUCUUCAUGAAAUAUCCUAUAGCUCACAACGUGGUAAGUAUUUUACUAAAACUUUUAAAGAUCCUUUGAACUAUCAGAAAUAGUAAACUUAGUAGUUUCAAUUUUAGGAACUUUAUUAAGAAUAUUUUGUUGGUCCCCAUAAUCUUUUAGGUGCAUGAGGACUUUAGAACCCCUAUUCUAUUGCUCAUUCUUCUCAGGUUUAUUUAGUAUAUCCAUAAAGAUCUCAAUUUUUUUUUCAUGGAGGUAAGUACCUUUUUGAGAUAGCACUCAUUUAUCGCUGAAAUGGUGUACUAGUAUAAAUUUCUGAAAUGCACUCUAUUAUGCAUCUUACUGGAAAGUACCUCAUAUGGCUCAAUGAAUCUUUCACUGGUCUUGUAUAGUACCUAUGUAGCAUUUUUAUAUGGUAAUUGGUCAGAGCCAUACACGAAUAGGAUAAGUAAUGAUAGAUUCAGUUAUUUGACCCUAAUCGCCAUACAUGUACAGAAGAAUAAGAAAGAAAGACAAGACACAUCCUAUCACGCCCUCGCAGAAUCACGAUUAUGGGAAUGGCCGGCUACAUAACCAUAAUUGAGAUUCUACUACCGACGUGUGCUCCAUUAGUCACAAGAAUAACCUAAGCUCUGAUACAAACUUUUGUCACGAUCCAAAUUAGGACCGUGAUCGGCGCUUAGGAGCUAGUGCUCCCAAGCAAGCCUCAUCGAAAAUUUUACAGAAAAUCGGACAAAGUUUCCCCUAUUUUUGGACCAUCCCAAACAUUUUCCUAUCAUAAAUUAGCAACAAAACAUCCUAAAGAUAGGUGGCUAAUAUACCUAUCUUUAUAAAACCCUUAAG